rnacentral:lncRNA from 12 species
GGCGGGGAGGAGAACCCCAGGGGCUGCCAGGGAAAGGUCAAGGGGGAGUGGGAGAACUGGGAGGACGCAGAGGAAACUAGGGAGCCCAGAACAACGCGGGGAGGCCCCCACAGCUAGAGGCCCCCCGAUGCAGCCGGCCGUCUCGGGUCCUGCCCCGCCGUGGCGUCUGGGACAUCCGUGCAGCCCUGGGCUCUGGAGUCACGGUGUGGAGCCAGCUCCACCCGAGCUGACCACCACGGGCAUGUCCUGUCUGCCGGGACAGGGGCCGCUCCCCUCGGCUCAGCCGCUGCCCCCGCUCCUUGCCCACAGCCCCCUGGGCUGGGCUCGUCCCCUCGGUGACCACAUCCCUUCCCCUGGGUCCAUCCUCCCUCCCAGCCAAGGGGCUGCACCCCCCCAGGCACAGCCCCCAUCACUCCAGGCUAACAAGUGCAUCUGUGGCCUUUGCAGGGACCGUUCCCUCUGCCGGGAACGCUUGUCCCCCUUUGUCCAGCCCUGCUGGCCCUUCCUUCGGGGCUGUGGCCCAGCCUCCUGUCCAGGGAGUCAUCUCCCCCGCGUGGAGUCCCCUGCCGGCCCUUCCACCACAAGCCUCAUGCCACAUGCGUCACGCGGUUUGCAGCCUGCCCGCCCCGCCCCGGGCAGGACCCCACGUUGGACAGCACCGCGUGUGGGCACGGCACGUGGGGGGGCAGCCCGGGCCCAGUCCUGGCAGGCGGGUGGGUGGGUGCAGCCCAGGGAAACCAGGAGGGGGUGUGCCUUGUUCCCAAACAGGAAGAUGCGCGGAGUUGGCGUCACCGGGAGGGGACUGUUGCAAUCCCGAGAGGCGUUUCCUCAGGCCGCGAGGCGAUUGGGAGCCCAGGAAGCCCGCGAGGACAGCCAGCGGCCGGGCAGGUGGGGAGGGAGACGCCUGGGGGUAUCUGGAGGUGGCCUCCUCGGAGUCUGGGCACGGCCCCUAAACUGCGGAAGGGCUCAGGAGCUACGUCAGGGAUUCACCUGCGGUGACCUCUAGCACUCCGUCCGCCGCACGAGCCAGGACUCAGACUUCCAGGGAUGUGAGGCCCCACAAGCCUGAGCGAGAUGCCCAGGCCAGGACGACUCAGCUCCGCCUUCUCUGAGAAGACCCACAUCCAAGCCAGGUCGGGCUGGCCAAGAGGACGCUGCUCAGGGCGGGUGGGGACGUGCGGGUCCGCUGGGGCUGGGCGGCCGCCACGUGCCUGCACCCAAGCCGCCGCACCCACUGCUGCAAAAUCCUGCCAUGGUCACAUCUCCAGGGCUUCCAGGUCCCAUCGGGUGGAUGGUGUCCUCCCCAAAUAGAUGUUCUAGUCCCGGCGAAUGUGACCGCCGUCCGGGACUGGUGUCCUCACAAGGGGAGGGAGUUUGGGCACAGGCCGGCUCUCGCGGGAAAAGGCCCAGAUCCCCCGGCGGCUGCACAGACUGGCCCCCGCCCCGCAGACGCCCGACCUGUCCCACGGCCCUUCCACGGCUGACCGUCGCUGAGGGCUUCGUGGGCAUCUGUUCCCCUAAAGGCGGCCACUUUCUAGAGGGGGGCUGGGUGUGGAUGCCGCGGAGGAGCUGAAUGGGUAGAUUCUUCUGGGCCCGGGCCCAGAUCCAGGCCGCACGCCCCCCACGGGCUCUGUCUGGGGCCGGGCUGUGGGUGCCCGCCCUCGCCUGCAUCUCUGCCAGCGACGGCCACCAGCCCCCGCACCCUGGUGCUUUCCAACACCCAGUGGGCUCUGCUCUUCCGGGGCCUUCUCCCGGGAAAAUGAAUGCAGUGCCUCCCUGGAUGCACUUUCACAGCAGAGGUUAAGGCAAAGGUGUUCAGGCCCCCCCCUCCCGGGAGCUCUGUGGGUGGGCGUCUGCCUUCGGCUCAGGGUGUGACCCCGGCGUCCCGGGAUCGAGUCCCGCAUCCCUGCAGGGAGCCUGCUUCUCCCUCCGCCUGUGUCUCUACCUCUCUCUGUGUCUCUCAUGAAUAAAUAAAUAAAAUCUUAAAAAAAAAAAAAGAUA